GGCAGUGUGAUGCAGUGGUUUGAAUUUUGGACUAAGACACCGAGAGACCAGGGUUCAAGUCCCAGCUCAGCCA